UGCUAAAUAAGAUGUAGAGCGAAUGAUCUGACUGGCAUUCUUUUUGAAUAAGAAAAUUACGUAACCGACCGUUCUUGGUAAACAGACAAGGUUCAACCCCAGAGACUGUAGUUUUAAACCAAAGUUCCGUAGAAUUAGAUACAAUAAGGAAUAUUACCCGGUUCAAUUCACUAAAAUACUUUCAAAAUAAAAGCAAUCCGUUUACUUGAACACAAGAUCACAAAUGGUGGCAUAUUUUGGCUUUUAAAAGAUGCUUCGAGUUUCUCUUAUCCUAACAACAUUUUUUGUGCUGUUCUAGACGUUUCUUUUGUUAUUUUAGUAUUAGUACGGCUUAUUCUGAAGUUACGUUCUAAUGUGUUAAUUCUCUGUCAACUUAAGCCACCAGGCCCAGUUCACCAGUCACUGCUGGACCGGAUCAGAACUCAACCUUGGGCCCACAAGUUCAGACAGAACAGAACCUGUGGAACAAAACAUCAUGUCAAACGGAUUCCGAGAGAGUGACAGAAAGAAAGAGAGAGUUUGUCACUCACCCAGCAUCCU